rnacentral:rRNA from 1 species
UACGGGGGGGGCAAGCGUUGUUCGGAAUUACUGGGCGUAAAGGGCCCGUAGGCGGCCAACUAAGUCAGACGUGAAAUCCCUCGGCUUAACCGGGGAACUGCGUCUGAUACUGGAUGGCUCGAGAUUGGGAGAGGGAUGCGGAAUUCCAGGUGUAGCGGUGAAAUGCGUAGAUAUCUGGAGGAACACCGGUGGCGAAGGCGGCAUCCUGGACCAACACUGACGCCGAGGAGCGAAAGCCAGGGGAGCAAACGGG